GAUGAACGCUAGCGGCAGGCUUAACACAUGCAAGUCGAGGGGUAUAGUAGCAAUACUAGAGACCGGCGCACGGGUGCGUAACGCGUAUGCAACCUACCUUUUACAGAGGGAUAGCCCAGAGAAAUUUGGAUUAAUACCUCAUAGUGUUAUUAGAUGGCAUCAUUUGAUAACUAAAGUUCCAACGGUAAAGAUGGGCAUGCGUCCUAUUAGCUAGAUGGUAAGGUAACGGCUUACAUGGCUACGAUAGGUAGGGGUCCUGAGAGGGAGAUCCCCCACACUGGUACUGAGACACGGACCAGACUCCUACGGGNGGCAGCAGUGAGGAAUAUUGGACAAAUGGGCGCAAGCCUGAUCCAGCCAUGCCGCGUGCAGGAAGAAGCAUCUAU
rnacentral:rRNA from 1 species